UCCUGACCUUAAAUUACCUUGCGCUGGUCAGUGAUGCUUGUAGAAUUCUUUUUACUUCGAAGAUACUUACGAAUGACAGCACUUUAAAGACACCUUUCUACUCUAUGGCCAAAGAUCGUGAUCGUCUGGUUGUGGUAGGACUCCACAUUACGUAGGCAACCCAAAGUACUUACCCUGAUUACUAAUAGAAAAAUUGACGGGAGGUUGGGAGAUUCGAAAGAAAACAACACAUUUAAACCCAAACAAGAAACGUUUAUUUCGGGUUUCAUUGGAGACGAUCUCCAAUGUCAUAGCUCUAGGGCGCAGCAGAGGGGAGGAAAAAGAGCUGCGAGAAAACCUCCCCUUAGAACAGCAGCAAUUACAUAAUAUCCUAUACAGGUAUGAUUUUACGUAGCUACGGCAACAGGUUCAACUGGCGAGAGAAAAUCUCACGUGAAAUGCACACUUGGUGGAAUCAGUUACAUCUACAGCUAUCAGCUCCUUAAUGAUGACUCUUAACCGAUACUUCAGUGAGAUGAGUUACGUUCAGCAUACAACAGUUCUGAAUUGGGUAGGGUUCAGUUAGGGGGUUGUUGGAAGGAUUAGACUCAGAUGCAAGGGCAUCCAGCCAAAAGGGUUGGAGACGCAGUUACAAUGGUACCCGGCCUCAGGGGAGAGAGACGCAGCUGCAAGGGCAUCCGGCCUCAGAAAUCGACGCAGGUACAAGGGUACCCGGCCUGCAGGAUACUAGGAAGGGCAAAAUCCACAAAAGUUGUAUGUUUGUCCCGUAACACAAAUAUGAAUUAUUUCCGCUCCUGGCUAUCACGUUCAAAUAUGUCCUGUAUUGACCAACUCCACCAGUGAAGAGAA